CCUGCUGCAUGGUUAUUAUAAAUGAACCACCGCUUCGUCUCAACGGUUUUGUUCACCGAGUGCUGCUGAAGCUGUCUUCAAUAAAAAAAAAUCGAUAAGUUGUCGAGGGAAAAAUCGAUCUUUGAAACAUGAUUAAUUUACUAUCGCUAUGUUUGUGGUUGACUACUGUGAUGUUGGUCGUUACUGGUCAAUAUUACAUAAACCCGCAAGUGCAAGUUCCAAUCAAACCGUAUCCGUAUCCUUAUCAAUAUUAUAAGGCACCCGCUCCAGCCGAAAUUGUGAUUCCGCCGACUGCACGAUACCUGACCGGUUACGACGUCUUGCACUCUUAUGAACCUGUCGAAAAACACGGUUACAAGUAUUCGUACUGAAGCGUUAAACAUAAUAUACGUUACAUAUGCAAUACUAUAGUACCUACCGCUUGAAUACUUACUUAACCUAAAAAAAAUGUAUAAGUUAUAUUAAAUUGUGUGUGGAAUAUAUUUCCGGUGUUAUAUAUUAUAUUAUGAUUAAUGGAUCACUUGUAUGUUACAUAAUAUUACGGAGGAAAUAAAAAAACCUAUGACCGCCAAUAAAGACGAUAUUACGAUAGUACAGUUUACUUGUAAUAUCUGUCAGUGCUCAUGCUCUAGUAAUGAUGUACAUACUAUACAAAAGGUACCUCUGUAAGAUGACAGAAGUAUUUUUAUUUGAAUGCCCAACAUUUUAAUAAUUUGACCUAUGGGAAUAAAAUAUUAAAAAAUGCUCCAAACAUUUUGUUUUAGUUUUAUGACGAAAAUUUGUCCAAUAUACUCAUAGUUUAUAGUAUAAAUUAUUGCAGUGGUACCUAAUGAUGAUAACUUUUACCUUUACGUUUACAAUAUUAUUUUGCAAACAAUUAAUUUUUUAUUGUAUUUAUUGAAAUAUUUAUUUUUAUAAUAUAGUGUAUGCUGUAGUUUAUAUGUAAUAUAUUAUAUUAUGUUAGUUUAUGAAGAAGUGUAUUAAUAAUUGUAAAAUUAUUAUUUAUUAUAAACGUUCAUAUAUUA